UUCAAGAUGUAAGGGACGCGUUUAGGUGAUAUCCAGAGACUUUUAAUCUUGAGGUAUAACAUUUUUUUUUCUUUCAAAAUUUUAGGGAUUAUGCAUUUUUCUUCGAUUUUCAGAGAACCCCAUCUUCGAUUUGUCAUUCAUAUAACCCACAUCGAUUUCAUGAUCCUCACCCUAGUUUUUUUUUUUUUUUUUUUUUUUUUUUUUUUUUUUUCUGCAAAUACAUGUUGUAGGGUUAGAAAAUUACAAAAGGCCUAACAAUCGAAAGGGUAAAUUACAAUCUGGAGUCAGCUUGUAGUCUGAGUGUGAAUCGCUGUGGGAAAUACAGGUCAAACUCAAAGAAAGGCAGAGCCAAGAAGAUGAGGAUGGUGAAAGGGAAGAGGAUCCUGCUAUUCGUUUGUACAAGGACACACAUUUUAAGGAACAAGGUGGAUGGGCACACGAGAAAGCUAAGAGGAAUUUUGAUGCAAUGAAAGAAAAGGUUGCACAAAAUUCUCAAAAUUCUGAUGGUACGAGUCCAUCCAUAAAUGAUGUUAAGAUAGUACAAAACCAACUAGGCAUAAGGAAGGGAUAUUGCCGUGGAUUCGGACAUGGUUUCGUGGCUCCAAAGCGUCAGCGUGCCUCUUCAUCAUAUGAUGAGGCUUCUAGGAAAAG